AUGGGAUGGACACUGGAAGGACAUGGGAGGGACAUGGGAGGGACACGGGAUCUACAUGGGACACGGGUUGGACACGGGAUGGACAUGGGAGGGACAUGGGAAGGCCAUGGGAUCUACAUGGGACACAGGAUGACACGGGAGGGACAUGGGAGGGACAUGGGAGGGACAUGGGACAUAGGAUGGACACAGGAUGGACACAGGAUCUACAUGGGACAUGGGAAGGACAUGGGAUGGACACAGGAUGGACAUGGGAUGGACAUGGGAGGGACACGGGAGGGACAUAGGACAUGGGAAGGACAUGGGAUGUACAUGGAAUAUGGGAAUGACACGGGAUGGACACAGGACAUGGGAAGGACAUGGGAUGGACACGGGAAGGACAUGGGAUCUACAUGGGACAUGGGUUGGACAUGGGAGGGACAUGGGAUCUACACGGGAUGGACACAGGAUGGACACGGAAUCUACAUGGGACAUGGGAAGGACACAGGAUGGACAUGGGAUGGACAUGGGAUCUACAUGGGACAUGGGAAGGACACAGGAUGGACACGGGAGGGACAUGGGAGGGACACAGGAUCUACAUGGGACAUAGGAAGGACACGGGAUGGACAUAGGACAUGGGAGGGACAUAGGAUGGACACGGGAUGGACAUGGGAUGGACAUGGGAUCUACACGGGACAUGGGAAGGACACAGGAUGGACACAGGAUCUACAUGGGACAUGGGAUGAACAUGGGAAGGACACAGGAUCUACACGGGACAUGGGAUGCACACGAGACAGACAUGGGAUCUACAUGGGAAGGACAUGGGAUGGACACAGGAUGGACAUGGGAGGGACACGGGAUCUACACGGGAUGCACACGGAAUGGACACGGAAUCUACAUGGAACAUGGAAAGGACAGAGGAUGGACAUGGGAUGGACAUGGGAAGGACAUGGGAUGGACACGGGAUCUACAUGGGACACAGGAUGGACAGGGGAUGGACAUGGGAUGGACAUGGGAUGGACACGGGAUCUACAUGGGAUGGACACGGGAAGAACAUGGGAUGGACACAGGAUGGACAUGGAAUGGACACUGGAUCUACACGGGACAUGGGAUGGACAGGGGAUCUACACGGGAUGGACACAGGAAGGACAUGGGAGGGACAUGGGAUCUACACGGGACACAGGAUGGACACAGGAUCUACAUGGGACAUGGGAUAGACACAGGGUGGACACGGGAAGGACACAGGAGAGACAUGGGAGGAACAUGGGAUCUACAUGGGACAUGGGAUGGACACGGGAUCUACAUGGGACAUGGGAUGGACACGGGAGGGACACGGGAUCUACAUGGGAGGGACACAGGACAAAGGCAGCACCAAGGGAGGGGGGGGAAGGGGGCGACACGUGAAGGACACGGGACGGACACGCGAGUGACGUGAGACGGACGCGGAAAGAAAGACCAGGCAGCCGACACGGGAUGAACAUGGGAUCGACAUGUAUUGACACGGGACGGAGCAUGGACACAGGAUCUACAUGGGAUGGACACGGGACACGGGAGGGACACAGGAUGCACAGGGAAUGGACAUGGGAUGGACAUGGGAUCUACAUGGAAUAUGGGAAUGACACGGGAUGGACACAGGACAUGGGAAGGACAUGAGAUGGACACAGGAAGGACAUGGGAGGGACAUGGGAAGGACACAGGAUCUACAUGGGACAUGGGAGGGACACGGGAUCUACAUGGGAAGGACACAGGAUCUACAUGGGAUUUACAUGGGCUCUACGAUGGACACGGGAAGGACACAGGAGGGACAUGGGACAUGGGAGGGACACGGGAAGGACACGGAAUCUACAUGGGACAUAGGAAGGACAUGGGAUGGACACAGGAUGGACAUGGGAAGGACAUGGGAAGGACACGGAAGGACAUGGGAUCUACACAGGACAUGGGAGGGACAGGG
rnacentral:lncRNA from 1 species